GUGAAUCAUCGAAUUUUUGAACGCAACUUGCACUCUCUUCGGAGAGUAUGCCUGUUUGAGGGUCAGCCUAAAAAAAAUCUACAUAGUCGCUGUUUCGCGGUGACGUUCGUCGGAAAUUGGGUCAUCUUAAAUCUUUUUGGUUUUAAGCGACUUAAAAUUUUCUUUUUGGUUCCAUGAAGGUUUCUAAGUGUUAUUUCUUUACACGUUUAAUGGUCUCGAUUUUUAUUAGCUGUGACCAUCAUAUCGGAUCGC
rnacentral:misc_RNA from 1 species